rnacentral:rRNA from 1 species
GAUGAACGCUGGCGGCGUGCCUAAUACAUGCAAGUCGAGCGAACAGACGAGGAGCUUGCUCCUCUGACGUUAGCGGCGGACGGGUGAGUAACACGUGGAUAACCUACCUAUAAGACUGGGAUAACUUCGGGAAACCGGAGCUAAUACCGGAUAAUAUAUUGAACCGCAUGGUUCAAUAGUGAAAGACGGUUUUGCUGUCACUUAUAGAUGGAUCCGCGCCGCAUUAGCUAGUUGGUAAGGUAACGGCUUACCAAGGCAACGAUGCGUAGCCGACCUGAGAGGGUGAUCGGCCACACUGGAGCUGAGACACGGUCCAGACUCCUGCGGGAGGCAGCAGUAGGGAAUCUUCCGCAAUGGGCGAAAGCCUGACGGAGCAACGCCGCGUGAGUGAUGAAGGUCUUCGGAGCGUAAAACUCUGUUAUUAGGGAAGAACAAAUGUGUAAGUAACUAUGCACGUCUUGACGGUACCUAAUCAGAAAGCCACGGCUAACUACGUG